rnacentral:tRNA from 1 species
ACCUGGCUGGCUCAGUCAGUAGAGCAUGAGAUUCUUUGAUAUUAGAGUCGUGGGUUCGACCCCCACACUGGGUG